rnacentral:rRNA from 1 species
GUCCACGCCUUAAAACGAUGGAUACUAAGUGUCGGCGGGUUACCGCCGGUGCCGCAGCUAACGCAGUAAGUAUCCCGCCUGGGAAGUACGGCCGCAAGGUUGAAACUCAAAGGAAUUGACGGGGGCCCGCACAAGCGGUGGAGCAUGUGGUUCAAUUCGACGCAACGCGAAGAACCUUACCCAGGCUGGACAUGCAGGUAGUAGAAGGGUGAAAGCCCAACGAGGUAGCAAUACCAUCCUGCUCAGGUGCUGCAUGGCUGUCGU